UGGACGCUGGUGUCCAGGGAGUUUCGCCCGUGCACCAAGCUGUUCAUGCAGAUGAUUGGCUCUAAUGCUAGCCAACCGCUGCUGGAAAGAUUCUCUCCUGAAGGCGGUGUGCACAUGAGAAACGCCAGCUCCACUUGGUUUGAAAACCCUUCCAAUGCUCGCAUUACAUUCUGCAUGCUCAAAAGUCAUAUCUGCACAAUAAAGCAACGUGAUUUUGUUGUGACGGGUUUCUAUGGGCAAGGAGGAUAUACGUAUACAAGUGCCAAGCAGGUGUGCGAGUCUAACGGACUGCAGUUACUAUCGGCAGAUGUCGCUAAAUGCGCAGCCAGCGACACUGGUGUCUACAGCGGUGUAAAGGCAUGGACGUCUGGCCAAACACCGGAGAUUACGAACAGCGACAGCAAGAGUCUCUUGACCGGAAAUGCUCCCGAUGUGCUUUGUCAACGAUCAAUUCCAAACUGUCCGACUGUGAGAAUUCCUAACGGGUUUCUGAACAUGUCCUUUGUUGCCGACAAGGUUUCGGCAACAUGUGACAGCGGAUAUUUUCUGACCGGAUAUGCCAAUUGUACGCAAAAUGGCGAAUGGGUAUAUAGGGGGCUAUUGUGCC